rnacentral:lncRNA from 1 species
GUCCCCAGACCAGCAACAUCAGCAUCCCUGGGAGCAUCAGAAAUGCAGAGCUCAGGCCCGCCCCGGAGCUACCGAAUCAGAACCUCCAUUUUACACACCCCUCAGCUCAGAGCUUGUUUCUCCCUGGAUUCCAUGGCCCUGUGCUGCUGGCAGCCCGGGGUUAGGGCAUUUCGUUGUCACCUGGCGACGGUGAAGCCUGGUUUCCUCCAGAGAGAUUGUGAGUACAUGGGACUCCACAUAGCGUUUUUCCCUGAGUUACAUAAUUUCCCCUCCCCUUCUGUGGGAUUUAUCUCCAAAGAAGCCCUCCAGGGCCAAGUGGCCAAAGGGAGGGGAAGUGCCUGCCCUUGCUUGGGGAGCUCCCAGCCCCUCCCGGGGAGGCCUUUCUGCCGAACUCCGAACUCCGAGUUGUAGGACCUCUCUCCUGCUGGUGCCCUCCUCCGCCCAGACUGCCCAGCCGCUGAUGCUGCUCUCCAUCCAAGUGAAGUGGCAAUGGUGCCAGCCUGAGAUUUCUGCCCUGAGUUUUAAGUACGAGAGUGUGGGCUGACAAUAAACUCCUUUAUUCUACCCUCUUCUGUUCUCAUAAGGAGAAAUUUAAAUUCUG